AUGUGUAUGUGGGACAAAAGUUUUUGGAGUGGAGUAACAGCUUGUCUUGGCAGGUUUAACAUCAACUUGGUUUUGGGACAACAACUUUUAGGGUGUGCAGGAUGUUUUGUUUUGAUUUGGCUUGUUGCAACAGGCUGUUUUGUUUUGAUUUUGCUUGUUGCAGUAGGCUGUUUUACUUUGAUAGCAGGGGCAGGUUUUGGAUUGUUGUGGAAAGGAUAUUUUGUUUUUUAUUAG